rnacentral:rRNA from 1 species
GAUCAGCCAUGCCGCGUGCAGUGAUGACUGCCCUCUGGGUUGUAAACUGCUUUUAUAUGAGAAGAAACCCUCCUAUGUGUAUGAGGCUGACGGUACCAUAUGAAUAAGGAUCGGCUAACUCCGUGCCAGCAGCCGCGGUAAUACGAAGGAUCCAAGCGUUAUCCGGAUUUAUUGGGUUUAAAGGGUCCGUAGGCGGAUCCUUAAGUCAGUGGUGAAAUCCCAUAGCUCAACUGUGGAACUGCCAUUGAAACUGUGUGUCUUGAAUUCCGUUGAAGUAGGUGGAAUGUGUCAUGUAGCGGUGAAAUGCUUAGAUAUGACAUAGAACACCGAUUGCGAAGGCAGCCUACUAAGCCAACAUUGACGCUGAGGGACGAAAGCGUGGGGAGCGAACAGGAUUAGAUACCCUGGUAGUCCACGCCCUAAACGAUGAUUACUCGCUGUUAGCGAUAUACUGUUAGCGACUAAGCGAAAGCGUUAAGUAAUCCACCUGGGAAGUACGAUCGCAAAGAUUGAAACU